UAACUUUUGUGAGUCAUUGUUGAGUAAUUGAUUAUAUACUAAACCCUAUAAUAUACUAAUACAACAUAUUAAAUAAAAUGAUGAUAAUUUCUAUGUUUUGUUGUUUCAUAUAUAAAAAAAUCAGUUGGCAAUUGUACAUUAAAUUGAUGGCGACUCUUGUAAUUAUUGUAUCAAAUUGAGACAUGGCGUCUAAAGCAUUACGAUGCUGAGAAAGGAUGGACUGGAAUAGAGCUCGGGCCAUUAUAUGAUAAAAUGAUGGAGUUAAGGGGUCAACAUCCUCCAGAAAAACUGUCUGAUAAAGAGAUUAUGGAG